GUUGGGAUAGCUCAGUCAGUAAAGCAUGAGUCUCUUAACCUCAGAGCUGAGGGUUCGAGCCCCACUUUGGGCA